rnacentral:rRNA from 1 species
GGAUGAACGCUGGCGGCAUGCCUAAGACAUGCAAGUCGAACGAGAUGGUCCAUCGAAAGCUGAGUGCUUGCACAAAGCCGGACUUGGGUUGCCAUCUAGUGGCAGACGGGUGAGUAACACGUGGGUGACCUACCUUUCGUUGGGGAUAACAGUUGGAAACGAUUGCUAAUACCGAAUAAGAUGUAAGAGUCGAUUUUAUAUUGAAAGGAGCCUUUAAAGCUUCGCGAUUAGAUGGGCCUGCGGCGUAUUAGCUAGUUGGUAGGGUAACGGCCUACCAAGGUAACGAUGCGUAGCCGAACUGAGAGGUUGAUCGGCCACACUGGGACUGAGACACGGCCCAGACUCCUACGGGAGACAGCAGUUAGGAAUAUUCGUCAAUGGGGGAAACCCUGAACGAGCAAUGCCGCGUGAGUUGAUGACGGUCCUUUGGAUUGUAAAACUCUGUUGUAUGGAAAAAACGACCAGAUUAGGAAAUGAAUUUGGAGUGAUGGUACCAUACCAGAAAGCCCCGGCUAACUACGUGCCAGCAGCCGC